GAUGAACGCUAGCUCCAGGCUUACCACAUGAAAGUCGAGGGACCCGCGCAUGGGCGUGUAACACGUACCCAAUCUGCCCUUUACUCGGGGAUAGCCUGUCGAAAGAAAGUUAAAUACCCGAUAUAAAGAAGGGAGAAGCGUCCAAUUAGGUUGUUGGUGAGGUAACGGUUCACCAAGCCUUCGAUGGAUAGGGGUCCUGCGAGGAAGGUCCCCCACAUUGGGACUGAGACACGGUCCAAACGCGUACGGGAGGCAGCAGUUGGGAAUAGUGUGCAAUGGGCGCUAGCCUGAACCAUCCAAUUAGCGUGAAGGAUGAAGGCUUAUGGGUCGUAAACUUCUUUUAUAAAAGAAUAUGUAUUAGAUGAGUAAGGAUCGGCUAACUCCGUGCCAGCAGCCGCGGUAAUAC
rnacentral:rRNA from 1 species